rnacentral:rRNA from 1 species
GACGAACGCUGGCGGCGUGCUUAACACAUGCAAGUCGUACGGUAAGGCCCUUUCGGGGGUACACGAGUGGCGAACGGGUGAGUAACACGUGAGUAACCUGCCCACAACUUUGGGAUAACGCUAGGAAACUGGUGCCAAUACUGGAUAUGUGCUCCUGCUUCAUGGUGGGGGUUGGAAAGCUCCGGCGGUUGUGGAUGGACUCGCGGCCUAUCGGCUUGUUGGUGGGGUAGUGGCCUACCAAGGCGGCGACGGGUAGCCGGCCUGCGAGGGUGACCGGCCACAUUGGGACUGAGAGACGGCCCAGACUCCGACGGGAGGCAGAAGUGGGGAAUAUUGCACCAUGGGCGCCAGCCUGAUGCAGCAACGCCGCGUGCGGGAUGACGGCCUUCGGGUUGGAAACCGCUUUCAGCAGGGACGAAGCUUUUUGUGACGGUACCUGCAGAAGAAGCACCGGCUAACUACGUG